rnacentral:rRNA from 1 species
UACGUAGGGAGCAAGCGUUGUCCGGAAUUACUGGGCGUAAAGGGCGCGUAGGUGGGUUUUUAAGUCAGAUGUGAAAACUCUAGGCUCAACCUGGAGCUUGCAUUUGAAACUGGAGAUCUUGAGGGCAGGAGAGGAAAGUGGAAUUCCUAGUGUAGCGGUGAAAUGCGUAGAUAUUAGGAGGAACACCAGUGGCGAAGGCGACUUUCUGGACUGUACCUGACACUGAGGCGCGAAAGCGUGGGUAGCGAACGGGAUUAGAUACCCCGGUAGUCCACGCCGUAAACGAUGAAUACUAGGUGUAGGAGGUAUCGACCCCUUCUGUGCCGCAGCAAACGCAAUAAGUAUUCCGCCUGGGGAGUACGGCCGCAAGGUUGAA